GGUCACAGUGGUUCAGUGGGUCUUCCGGGUGCCAAUGGACCGAUGGGGAUGCCAGGUGAGAAAGGUGAUAAGGGUGUGGGCUAUCCUGGACAGCAAGGCAUACCGGGACAACCGGGUCCCAGCGGGCUGCCUGGUAAUAGUAAAGAGGGUAAUCCGGGAAUGCCUGGUCCGCCUGGGAAGAACGGAGAUCCCGGGAAUCCAGGGAGAAUGGGAAGUCCAGGUUCGCCUGGAACAUGCCAGCCUUCUCUGUGCUACCAAGCGAUGGUAGGAAGAGAUCCCUUCAGAAAAGGACCAAACUAUUGAAGCUGUGCAGAUCGACCAAGUUGAUGCCAAUGCAUUUAGACUGGACAAUACUCAAAGUGGUGCUUUAUCUUCGAAAAGUCCUAAAAGAAGUCUCAGGAAGAUUUACAUGCGAGUACCUAUGUUCCGUGUUAACAAAGUAACAUUUACUUAACCAUUUCUCAUUGCCAAAAUAGGAGGAUCAUGAACUGCUUGGAUUGGAUCACUAACAACACAUCGGUGGGGUUUUCAUGAGACUUUCUAUUGUAAUGGAAAAUACAACGUUUUGUAACUGAUUCCAUGUGUGUAAGAUAUUGGGAAAGAGCUGGAAAGUGGCAUUAAUGGAGAAAAAGUACUUAGGGAAACAGGUCACAGUGGCACAGACAGGAUGGGUUGAACAAAUGUUCUAUACUUCUAUCGGGUAAAAUUUGCAGCGUUCCUUGUUUAAUGCCGGAGUAAAAUAUCAAGGUGGGAAUGCACCUCUCCAUGGGUUACUCCUUUUCACAGGCGAUUUUCAUUUUGCAAAGUUUCAAAUAGAAUCAUGCAAUCCCAGAAAUUUACAGCACAGAUGGAGUCCAUUCAGACCAUCCAGUCUCCAUCAGCAAACUGUCCACUGAAUGCCACUGCCCUGCUCCAUCCUCAUACCUUUUCGAGCCGCUAUCUUUCAUAUGCCUGUCUACUUCCCUCAUGAAAUCCACAAUGGACUCUGCUUCCACCAUUCUUGCAUUCCACGUCCCAACAUCUCUCUUGAGUGAAAAACUCUGUGUCCAGGCUUUCCAUCACAGAAUUUACAUUUUUUUUACAUUUCUGCACAAUCUUACAGGCUAAGACCUUGUGGAAUUUAAAGUCUGAUGGCCCAUUAUUUGCAAAAUAAAAAUCACUUGCCUCAAAAAAAAAUUGUAAUAAGGUGCGAAUAGGAAACCUGGAAAAGAAACACUAAUCUGAAAGGUUUUGCUGCCAUUCGGUGACGGUAGUUUACGCAGCGUUAAAUAAGGAAAGCCGCAAAAUUUUACCACUCUGUUUCUAGCAAUUCCAUUGUGAAAUAUUGCAUCUCUCACCCUGUGUUACACUUACAUUUGUUAUGUUAUUUAAUGCUCCGCUGAUGGAAGGAGCAGUCAGGUGUUGUAAUAUCGAUUACUGAGUUUGCUGCACAUCCAUGUUUAUCAUGUAAUAGCAUUGGUUACUUAGAUAAAAACAUCGUCAAUCUCCUGAAAUGUGACAAGCUGCAAAGUUGUGAUUUACUUCCACCGAAUUGGGGAGGGAGGGAAACAGACAAAGAAGGCAACAGGGUGUAAAGUGCGAUGUUUCAUUACAAAUUCAAUGUAGUAAUUAUUGAAAAUAAAUCACAAAGUCCACAAAAAACACAAUCUCCGAUAAUACAUUUUUGCAUUAGAUUUUCUGUAAAUCUUCACAGGAAGGAAAGUGACAUGUUAUUGAAAAUAGAUAUCACAGCAAUAUACUUCUGGCGUUUUUUACAAUACACUACAAAUUUACAUUUAUAUAGUGCCUUUCAUGUCGGGAAGAUGUCCUAAGGUGCUUGACAGUCUUGGCUUCGCAUCCAAGCUGAGGGGUGGGGCGCGGUUAGAGCCAAAAGGAAAGGGGAGGGAAAGAUGACUGAGUCGCAGUCAAAGAGGAAGGUUACAUAAAGUUAUUAAAGUUACAUAGAGUGAUAUGGCAUGCUGGUCUGAACUGUUACUGAAAGUUACUGAACUGCAUCCUUACUGUUUCAGAGUCGAUGUAUUUAUCAUGUUCUCUACACUAAUAACUCUUUGCAUGUGAUUAUCUGAUAUUUAUCACUUUGAAUUUCCCUCUGAAAUAUCACGGCAUUUUGCACGCCAAUAUUUCCUAACAA